GGAAAUAUAAGUCUUUCAUGAUAGAAGAACCUUCAUAAAUCAAAUAAAGAAAAGCAAAGUAAUACUGAACUUAAUUUUUUUUAAAAAAGAAAAGAAAACAAAUCUUAAUGAAGGAUGAAACAGCAGAUGAAUUUUGGCUUUCAUCAACAAAUGCACCAUUAUCUGCAAAGAAGAGAGGAACUACUGUGGACAGACAACUUUUACAUUAAUACAAACUAGUGUGUGACAUGUGCUUUGCAUGUGAUUUAGAUGAGAUAAAGGAUGAAAGACUUGUUUGGGAGCCAUGCAAUAGAAUAGACAAAAAAAGUUCUGUAGUUGGUGAGCACCUAGACUUGCUGUACAGGUACCAGGUACUGUCUCAGUACCUUAUGACACAAUAUGGCAUGCCUAGCACAGUAAGGUACACCUCUCAUAUAAGCACAGGUUCAGGAGAUCCAUGUAUCACACCUCAUACGCCUCGGAACCGGCCACAGCCAACAUUGUCAUGCCCCGGACCCGGAUUUGUGACACGGCCGUGCUAUUGCCGACCAUCACCCACAAUAGCACGCAGCCUCAUACAUGGGUAACAGGGUAGUCAAACCAGUCAAACUUUCAUAUAUUAAAGCAUUUUUAGUGCACAUGCUCAGUGGUACAAAAUACAGAGCUUCUACAUAUUUUAUGUAUACAAAAGUAUAUUUGUUUCACCCCAAAAAGGAGAAGCCCUGAUACAAAAGAAAAAGUCUCUGGUAGCUAUCAGUGGUGAGGAUCUGAAAGAAAAUACCAAUAAAAUAGUAUGAGCUACACGGCUUAGUAAGUAAUCCUGCAUAAUCUUAACGGAUCAAUUAAUAUGUUGUCUAUCAAUUUAUCAUGACAAAAUAUUCGUACUGAAUCAAUAAUCAUAUUAUGUAUGCUAUCAAAAAUCUUCACGUAAAUAUACACUGUAGGAUUGUAUGCCGGCAUGCCGUGGUUUACGUCCUCCGAUGCUACGGCAGAGUCAUUAUCAGCCACUGGCGGGGCGAGCUCAGUUAUUAUACAACCACUGGCGGGGCGAGCUCAAUUACAUUCAGCCGUAGCAUCUAAGAGUCCAUACAUAGUAUUUCUUGCAAGUGGUACACUUAGCUAGAGGCAAUUCAAUUCAUCAUCUUAUACUAUAAUUACUAUAUUAAGUGAAAUUAUGGUAACGAAAUUCCAAUCAACAUAUAUGCAUAUUAUUUUAAAAUCUAUAUAAGCUUGAUGUAUGCAUAACCAUAAUUUCUAUAACUAAAACAUACCACUUGUAUGCAUGAUCCAUGAUAAGAUCAAGACAAGUUACAUACAUGACCCAUAGAAGGUUGGGACAGGUUACUUACCGUAAUUCGCUUUCCCACGUUUGAUCAGUCCAGAUGACGGAUCCUUAAUCACCUUGCACAACAUCAUAGGGAUCACAUUAUUCUCCGUUUGUUUAAUACAUAAUUUCUCAGUUAAAAUUAUGAGUUUACUUGUUUGGAUCCCAUCUAAGGAUUUGGCCCAAGUCCAAUUUAUCCACGUUGGAGCCUUCUAAUUUGGUCAAUAGGCUUAAUCCCAAGUUAAAUUUUGGGUUUAGAGUUAAUGUGGCCCAUUUGGGCUUGUGCUAGGGUCAGCCUGUAGCCGAUUAGGCCUCUGGUUAANNNNNNNNNNNNNNNNNNNNNNNNNNNNNNNNNNNNNNNNNNNNNNNNNNNNNNNNNNNNNNNNNNNNNNNNNNNNNNNNNNNNNNNNNNNNNNNNNNNUGGGACUAACCCAGCCUAAUUGGGUUCGGACCCAGUUCAAAUUGGGCUAGAUUUGGUUCAAUUUUAUAGUUUGAGCUCGUCCAGACUUAGCCCAAUCUGUUUGGGCUCGGGUUUAGUCAAAUUUGGCUAAACCCAUUUUUUUUUUCUUUUUCCUUCUUUUCUUUUUCUUUCUUUUUUCUUUUCUUCUCUGUUUCUUUUCUUCUCCUUCCCGAAGCUUCCUCUCCUCCCUUCUUCUCUUUGAUCCCGAUCUCCCCUUCCUCUUCUCCUCUCCUCUCCUACGAAGGGAGGAUGACAGUCUCCUCCUCACAGGCAGGAGAUCGGACCGUAUCGGCGGCGCUCGCAGCCGAGCUCUCGGCUUCCCCGGCCGAGCCCGCGGCACCCUCGGCCGCACCUGAGGCCGAUGCCCGUGCCGACGAUGCUCGCGGCCGAAGCCGAUAGCCGCCACACGCGACGACGAACCGGUGAGCCCCCUCUUCCUCUUUUUCUCUUUCUUUCUUUCUUUCCUUCUUCUUAUCUUCGGUCUCCCUUCUCAAACCUCCCAUAUUCCCUCUCGCUCCCAAGCCCUCUCUCUAUUCUUCUCUCAUGAAGGAAGAAAGGCGAGCUUGGGAGGGCCGGGCCACGGCCGGCAACGCCUGAGGCCAAGCCUGCUGCCUGCGUAGACGCCAGCUUAGACCUUGGUAAGCGUUUCUUCUUCGAAACCUCAGCAGAUAUGGUUUUAUAGGACGAUUUGUCCAAAACAGACCUUGCUCGCAAUGACCUAUGUUUCUUUAGUAAGAAAGUCCGGUUUAAGCCAAGCCAUCUCAUACAUAAAGUCUGACUAUUAGUCUUGCUGUUCUUUCAAAUCCAUUAGCGGUGCCGCCGUGCUUUUGAUUUUCAUGCCUUCCAAGCAGUCGAAUUGAAUUGGUCGCAUCUGCCUUCCCGCUUAGUGAAUCUCUAAGGGGCGUAAUUAAUCCAAUCUCUCAAUCGGUUGGCCGAGGCCGGCGGCUCCUGCGACGUCUGAGGACAUUCCCCACAACGCCGGCGACCGCACACAGGUGAGCCCAUCUUCCCUCUCUUCUUUCUUUCUUUUCUUUCCUCCCUUCUCUUCACCGAGACCCUCUACCCCGUAGAAGGUAAAGAGGGAAAACGGAACUCCGGCCCGACUGCCGCCCCCGCCCGAGAGCCGGUAACGGCUGUAGAGCCGUGGAGUCCCUUCUCUAUUCUAUUUUGAAAACAGGGGAGGUGAAAACAGGAAAAUGAUAUGAUCAAGGCUUAUCGGACUCCGAGAAUGAACGGCAACAAUCCUUGCUCUGGCUUCGCUGGUUCAAAAACUCCCUCAAGAAGAAGGAGAAGUAUGGUAAGGGCUAGAAGAGGUCCUUAAGCGGGGGUAACCACUGUAGCUGGGGUGAGGCGUCACCCCCAAUUUCCCCCAUGGAGGGUCUAACAGCAGGGCCCUCCUCUUAUUUCCACCUGGCCCUAGUCACUUCCAUGCACAUAGCAUGAGGUGGCAGCCAUCAAAUGGGCUGCCAACAAUGGGCUCUAGUUAGCCCAUUAGGCGUCCUGGCCCAAUGCUCAAGUACGGGCCUACAAAAAAUCAGGCCCAACACCCCUGACUGGGCCUCAAAAGUAUUGGGCCCAGUUGGUUUUGGGCCCGGACAUUACAUCCUCCCCCCUUAAAUAAAUUUCGUCCUCGAAAUUAAAUAUACCCCAGGUGGACCGAUGUAGCGAGGACUCAUUUUGCCGUGUUGCCCGAAUCAGGCAACACUCUUCGAAAAGGACAUUUUUAGAUAGACAAAGUUUCCCUCCAAAAAUUCCAGUUCCCAUAACUUAGCAAGAAUCGCCCGGUAGGGGCCUUGAAGAUGGGUCCCUCUCCUAAAAUCAAUGGUGAAUUCGAUUUCUCAACCAGGGGGUAAUCCCGAUAAUUCAUCAGGAUAAAUAUCCGAGUUCCCUGAGUACUGGAAUACUUACCAGUUUGAUCUCCUUUUGUGUAUCUGUUGCACAGGCCGGAUAAGCCGUACACCCCUUCCUUAGCGCCUUGGCGGCUCUCAAGGCAGAAAUAAAAUGCAGUGUAAUUGUCUAGAAAACUAACUAAUAUGAAGGAAUGCGUAGAACCAAAAUUAAACAGAGUAGAGGCAUCACUCGAGUUGACUGGUAGUGUACCUGUCACCACUCUUUCGCUCGCACUGGCAUUUUGACGAGUCAGCGCGAAUACUCUGGGAUUGUUCCUCGGUUCUUGGUCUUCAGGCGCAGAAAAUCUGGGCUCCUUCCUCACUCGGCUCGGGCAGUCACGCGCCAUGUGUCCCACCUGCCCACAGUUAAAACAUGCCCCAAUUUUCUUUAAACAAGGCCCACCAUGGAAUCUGCGACAGUUAGGGCAUGGCCCGUUCUACCUCUUCUGGGCCUGAGGAUUUCUUGACCUAUCAUUUUGGCUUUCAGCUGGCCCGGGUCUCUUCAUAUCGCCUUUUUCUCUUUCCGACCUAUCCAACUCGGCUUCCACCUUUAAAGCUCGAUCCAGAGCAUCCCGGUAGUUUAUAAAGAGGUGUGAGGAUAAUCGGGAUCUGAUUUUGCAUUUCAGCCCCUGCUCAAACCGAUUCGCUUUACUCGUCUCAUCUUCUAUAAACUGGGGGCAAAAUCGGCCCAGCUCAUUAAACUUGUUGGCGUACUCCAGGACAGUCAUGUACUUGGACUGAGCCAGUGAUAGGAACUCGUUUUGUUUUGCCUGCCCGACUGCAUCCGGAAAGUAUUGAGUAUAAAAUAAUUUCUUAAAUUCUCCCCAGGUCAUCCUAUUGAUAUCAUAGUCUCUACGACAGUCCACCAAAACUCCGUGUUUCCCUUCAACAUAGGGAUAGCUAGUCCAACUUUUACUUCCUCAGAAAAUUGGAGUGCUCGAUACAUCUUUUCCAUCUUCCGAAUCCAGGUCUCGGCUGCCACAGGGUCCGAUCCACCGUCAAACUGUGGUGGGUUCAGCCUGCGGAACCUCUCAUAAUGAGAUUCCAUCAGUUGUACAGGCCUGACAGUCCACUGCAUUUAUUGUUGCUGAAGCAGUUGUGCAAUUAUCUGGUAUAACCCUGCCAGGUCUGCUUGCGUUGCCACAGGGUCUGGGGUGUGUGCCCAUGAUUGUAUACUAGGGUUUGGAGAAAGUGCUCCCAUAUCUCCUUCGUUCUCCAUGUUCCUUAUAGCUACCUAGCAGUCACAAGUUUAGGAUGAGACUGAAAUAAAUUCCUUUCUUCGACUAAUGUAUUAUGACACUCUUAAUAUAUUAUGAUAAUCUUAACUACCCAUUACCCCUGAUUUUUACGGUUAUAGUCUUGUUAAACCUAAAGCUCUGAUACCACCGCAUGGCACGCUCCGGACCCGGAUCCGUGACACGGCCGUGUUAUUGCCGACCACCACCCACAAUAGCACACAGCCUCAUACAUGGGUAAAAGGAUAGUCAAACCAAUCAAACUUUCAUAUAUUAAAGCAUUUUUAGUACACAUGCUCAGUGGUACAAAAUACAGAGCUUCUACAUAUUUUAUGUAUACAAAAGUAUAUUUGUUUCACCCCAAAAGGGAGAAGCUCCGAUACAAAAGAAAAAGUCUCUAGCAGCUAUCAGUGGUGAGGAUCUGAAAGAAAAUACCAAUAAAAUGGUAUGGGCUACACGGCUCAGUAAGUAAUCCUGCAUAAUCUUAACGAAUCAAUUAAUAUGCCGAACAUGUUUAAAUAGGGUUUGAGAAGCUGACAUGUAUGCUGUCUAUCAAUUUAUCAUGAUAAAAUAUUCAUACUGAAUCAAUAAUCAUGUUAUGUAUGUUAUCAAAAAUCUUCAUGUAAAUAUACACUGUAGGAUCGUAUACCGGCAUGCCGUGGUUUACGCCCUCCGAUGCUACGGCAGAGUCAUUAUCGGCCACUGGCGGGGCAAGCUCAGUUAUUAUGCGGCCACUGGCAGGGCGAGCUCAGUUACAUUCAGCCGUAGCAUCUAAGAGUCCAUAUAUAGUAUUUCUUGCAAGUGGCACACUUAGCUAGAGGCAAUUCAAUUCAUCAUCUUAUACUAUAAUUACUAUAUUAAGUGCAAUUAUGGUAACGAAAUUCCAAUCAUCAUAUAUGCAUAAUAUUUUAAAAUCUGUAUAAGCAUGAUGUAUGCAUAACCAUAAUUUCUAUAACUAAAACAUACCACUUGUAUACAUGAUCCAUGAUAAGAUCAAGACAAGUUACAUACAUGACCCAUAAAAGCUUGGGACAGGUUACUUACCGUAAUCCGCUUUCCCACGUUUGACCAGUUCAGAUGACGGAUCCUUAAUCACCUUGCACAACAUCAUAAGGAUCACAUUAUUCUCCGUUUGUUUAAUACAUAAUUUCUCAGUUAAAAUUAUGAGUUUACUUGUUUGGAUCCCAUCCAAGAAUUUGGCCCAAGUCCAAUUUACCCACGUUGGAGCCUUCUAAUUUCGUCAAUAGGCUUAAUCCCAAGUUAAAUUUUGGGUUUAGAGUUAAUGUGGCCCAUUUGGGCCUGUGCCAGGGUCAGCCUGUAGCCAAUUAGGCCUCUGGUUAAUUGAAUUGGGCUUGAAUUGAGUCUUAGUUGGGUCUGCUGGGACUAACCCAGCCUAAUUGAGUUCGGACCCAGUUCAAAUUGGGCUAGAUUUGGUUCAAUUUUAUAGUUUGGGCUCGUCCAGACUUAGCUCAAUCUGUUUGAGCUCGAGUUUAGUCAAAUUUGGCUAAACCCAUUUUUUUUUUCUUUUCCUUCUUUUCUUUUUCUUUCCUUUUUCUUUUCUUCUCUGUUUCUUUUCUUCUCCUUCCCG
rnacentral:lncRNA from 1 species